rnacentral:lncRNA from 1 species
UUAAUGUCCUUCUGGUAUCCUUAGCCCCUCUUUUCUAAAUUAUUCCUUUAUAACUUUCAUCCGAAUUUAAGUUGGCUGUUUCUUAUUUGAAAGGGAAUUUGAUAAACACAUUAUACCGAUAAGACGAAGACAACCUAUACUUAAGGGGGUAGACCUUGGUUCAGGGAGAUAACUCUGUAAAUCAGUUAUGCGUUUGUAAAAGUCAAGUUCAUCAAUGUAUUUUAAGCAUUUACCUGAAACAGAUUGAAAAUAAUCUAUGUAACCUAGAAGCUUAGAAUAUAUUUUUGAAAAUGGUUGACACAAACGUACUGAUGAUUUUAAGAGUUAUUUCCCUUAACCUAGGUCUACCUCCUUAAGUAU